AACUUUCAGCAAUGGAUCACUUGGUUCUCGCAUCGAUGAAGAACGCAGCGAAUUGCGAUAAGUAAUGUGAAUUGCAGAAUAUUGUGAAUCAUCGAAUCUUUGAACGCACAUUGCGCGCUCUGGUAUUCCAGGGGGCAUACCUGUUUGAGCGUCAUUUCAUUCUUAAAUUUUAUAUUUAGUAUUGAGUUUUUUCGUUAUAAAACAAUAACUCGAACUGAAUGUGGCAGAGGCAACUUUAGCUUUUUUACCAUGUAUUAGGUUUUACCAUCUCGUUGGCUUUAAACUAAACAAGCAUCGGCGUUAUAACGACUUAUAAGUUUGACCUCAAAUCAGGUAAGAUUACCCGCUGAACUUAAGCAUAUCAAUAAGCGGAGGCU
rnacentral:misc_RNA from 1 species